GGCCUGCCUUACACUUGCUUGUCUAGCGGAUGACGGAAGUUUGCUCCUUGAUUCAGCGGCGGAGGGUGAGUAAUGCCUAAGAAUCUGCCUGGUAGUGGGGGACAACGUUUCGAAAGGAACGCUAAUACCGCAUACGUCCUACGGGAGACAGCAGGGGACCUUCGGGCCUUGCUCUAUUACAUGAGCCUAGGUCGGAUUACCUAGCUGGUGGGGUAAUGUCUCACCAAGGCGACGAUCCGUAACUGGUCUGAGAGGAUGAUCAGUCUCACUGGAACUGAGACACGGUCCAGACUCCUACGGGAGGCAGCAGUGGGGAAUAUUGGACAAUGGGCGAAAGCCUGAUCCAGCCAUGCCGCGUGUGUGAUGAAGGUCUUCGGAUUGCAAAGCACUUUAAGUUGGGAGGAAGGGCAGUAAGCUAAUACCUUGCUGUUUUGACGUUACCGACAGAAUAAGCACCGGCUAACUCCGUGCCAGCAGCCGCGGUAAUACAGAGGGUGCAAGCGUUAAUCGGAAUUACUGGGCGUAAAGCGCGCGUAGGUGGUUCGUUAAGUUGGAUGUGAAAGCCCCGGGCUCAACCUGGGAACUGCAUCCAAAACUGGCGAGCUAGAGUACGGUAGAGGGUGGUGGAAUUUCCUGUGUAGCGGUGAAAUGCGUAGAUAUAGGAAGGAACACCAGUGGCGAAGGCGACCA
rnacentral:rRNA from 1 species